CCUACGCGAGGCAGCAGUGAGGAAUAUUGGUCAAUGGGCGCGAGCCUGAACCAGCCAAGUAGCGUGAAGGAUGACUGCCCUACGGGUUGUAAACUUCUUUUAUAAAGGAAUAAAGUGAGGCAAGUGUGCCUUUUUGUAUGUACUUUAUGAAUAAGGAUCGGCUAACUCCGUGCCAGCAGCCGCGGUAAUACGGAGGAGUCGAGCGUUAGCCGGAGUUAUUGGGUUUAAAGGGAGCGUAGAUGGAUUGUUAAGUCAGUUGUGAAAGUUUGCGGCUCAACCGUAAAAUUGCAAUUGAUACUGGCAGCCUUGAGUACAGUUGAGGUAGGCGGAAUUCGUGGUGUAGCGGUGAAAUGCUUAGAUAUCACGAAGAACUCCGAUUGCGAAGGCAGCCUACUAAACUGCCACUGACAUUGAUGCUCGAAAGUGUGGGUAUCAAACAGGAUUAGAUACCCUGGUAGUC
rnacentral:rRNA from 1 species